GGGGUAGCGGUGGAAUGCGCAGAUAUCAGGAGGAACACCGAUGGCGAAGGCAGGUCUCUGGGCACUUACUGACGCUGAGGAGCGAAAGCGUGGGGAGCGAACAGGAUUAGAUACCCUGGUAGUCCACGCCGUAAACGUUGGGCGCUAGAUGUGGGGACCUUUCCACGGUUUCCGUGUCGUAGCUAACGCAUUAAGCGCCCCGCCUGGGGAGUACGGCCGCAAGGCUAAAACUCAAAGGAAUUGACGGGGGCCCGCACAAGCGGCGGAGCAUGCGGAUUAAUUCGAUGCAACGCGAAGAACCUUACCAAGGCUUGACAUACACGAGAACGGGCCAGAAAUGGUCAACUCUUUGGACACUCGUGAACAGGUGGUGCAUGGUUGUCGUCAGCUCGUGUCGUGAGAUGUUGGGUUAAGUCCCGCAACGAGCGCAACCCUCGUCGCAUGUUGCCAGCACGUUAUGGUGGGGACUCAUGUGAGACUGCCGGGGUCAACUCGGAGGAAGGUGGGGAUGACGUCAAAUCAUCAUGCCCCUUAUGUCUUGGGCUUCACGCAUGCUACAAUGGCCGGUACAAAGGGCUGCGAUGUCGUAAGGCGGAGCGAAUCCCAAAAAGCCGGUCUCAGUUCGGAUUGAGGUCUGCAACUCGACCUCAUGAAGUCGGAGUCGCUAGUAAUCGCAG
rnacentral:rRNA from 1 species